AUACGGAGGGUGCAAGCGUUAAUCGGAAUUACUGGGCGUAAAGGGCGCGUAGGCGGUCUAUCAAGUCAGUUGUGAAAUCCCACGGCUCAACCGUGGAGGUGCAUCUGAAACUGAUAGACUUGAGUAUGGGAGAGGAAAGUGGAAUUCCCGGUGUAGAGGUGAAAUUCGUAGAUAUCGGGAGGAACACCAGUGGCGAAGGCGACUUUCUGGACCAAUACUGACGCUGAGGCGCGAAAGCGUGGGGAGCAAACAGGAUUAGAAACCCCGGUAGUCC
rnacentral:rRNA from 1 species